rnacentral:rRNA from 1 species
UACCAGCACCCGAGUGGUCGGACGUUUAUUGGGCCUAAAGCAUCCGUAGCCGGUUCUACAAGUCUUCCGUUAAAUCCACCUGCUUAACAGGUGGGCUGCGGAAGAUACUAUAGAGCUAGGAGGCGGGAGAGGCAAGCGGUACUCGAUGGGUAGGGUAAAUCGUUGAUCCAUUGAAGACCACCAGUGGCGAAGGCGGCUGCCAGAACGCGCUCGA